AUUGAACGCUGGCGGCAUGCCUUACACAUGCAAGUCGAACGGCAGCACGGGAGCAAUCCUGGUGGCGAGUGGCGAACGGGUGAGUAAUAUAUCGGAACGUGCCCAGUAGUGGGGGAUAACUGCUCGAAAGAGCAGCUAAUACCGCAUACGACCUGAGGGUGAAAGCGGGGGAUCGCAAGACCUCGCGCUAUUGGAGCGGCCGAUAUCAGAUUAGCUAGUUGGUGAGGUAAAGGCUCACCAAGGCGACGAUCUGUAGCUGGUCUGAGAGGACGGACGGCCACACUGGGACUGAGACACGGCCCAGACUCCUACGGGAGGCAGCAGUGGGGAAUUUUGGACAAUGGGCGCAAGCCUGAUCCAGCCAUGCCGCGUGCGGGAAGAAGGCCUUCGGGUUGUAAACCGCUUUUGUCAGGGAAGAAACGGCUCCUACUAAUACUGGGGGCUAAUGACGGUACCUGAAGAAUAAGCACCGGCUAACUACGUGCCAGCCGCCGCCGUAA
rnacentral:rRNA from 1 species